GAUGAACGCUGGCGGCGUGCCUAACACAUGCAAGUCGAGCGAUUUACUUCGGUAAAGAGCGGCGGACGGGUGAGUAACGCGUGGGUAACCUGCCCUAUACACACGGAUAACAUACCGAAAGGUAUGCUAAUACGGGAUAAUAUGCUUUUAUCGCAUGGUAGAAGUAUCAAAGCUCCGGCGGUACAGGAUGGACCCGCGUCUGAUUAGCUAGUUGGUAAGGUAACAGCUUACCAAGGCGACGAUCAGUAGCCGACCUGAGAGGGUGAUCGGCCACAUUGGAACUGAGACACGGUCCAAACUCCUACGGGAGGCAGCAGUGGGGAAUAUUGCACAAUGGGCGAAAGCCUGAUGCAGCAACGCCGCGUGAGCGAUGAAGGCCUUCGGGUCGUAAAGCUCUGUCCUCAAGGAAGAUAAUGACGGUACUUGAGGAGGAAGCCCCGGCUAACUACGUGCCAGCCGCCGCGGUAA
rnacentral:rRNA from 1 species